UGCUGCUGCUGUUGCUGCUGCUGCAACUGCAAAUGCUGCAACUGCUGCUGCUGCUGUC
rnacentral:sRNA from 1 species